UACGAAGGGGGCUAGCGUUGUUCGGAAUUACUGGGCGUAAAGCGCACGUAGGCGGACUUGUCAGUCAGGGGUGAAAUCCCGAGGCUCAACCUCGGAACUGCCUCCGAUACAGCAAGUCUCGAGUCCGGAAGAGGUGGGUGGAAUUCCUAGUGUAGAGGUGAAAUUCGUAGAUAUUAGGAAGAACACCAGUGGCGAAGGCGGCCCACUGGUCCGGUACUGACGCUGAGGUGCGAAAGCGUGGGGAGCAAACAGG
rnacentral:rRNA from 1 species